rnacentral:rRNA from 1 species
CCUGGCGUCUAGAUUGAACGCUGCGGCGACUGCCUUACACAUGCAAGUCGAACGGCACGGCACGGGGGCGAACCCUCGGUGGCGGAGUGGCGAACGGGUGGAGGUAAGUACGAAUCGGAAACCGGUGUCCUCGUAGUGGGGGAGUAGCCCGGCGAAAGCCGGAUUAAUACCGCAUACGCUCUACGGAGAAAGGGGGGGAGUCUUAGGACCUCCCGCUACAGGGGCGGCCGAUGGCAGAUUAGCUAGUUGGUGGGGUAAAGGCCUACCAAGGCGACGAUCUGUAGCUGGUCUGAGAGGACGACCAGCCACACUGGGACUGAGACACGGCCCAGACUCCUACGGGAGGCAGCAGUGGGGAAUUUUUGGACAAUGGGGGCAACCCUGAUCCAGCAAUGCCGCGUGUGUGAAGAAGGCCUUCGGGUUGUAAAGCACUUUUGUCCGGAAAGAAAACGCCGUGGUUAAUACCCGUGGCGGAUGACGGUACCGGAAGAAUAAGCACCGGCUAACUACGUG